UACAGAGGUCUCAAGCGUUGUUCGGAUUCAUUGGGCGUAAAGGGUGCGUAGGCGGCGCGGUAAGUCGGGUGUGAAAUCUUGGAGCUUAACUCCGAAACUGCAUUCGAUACUGCCGUGCUUGAGGACUGGAGAGGAGACUGGAAUUCAUGGUGUAGCAGUGAAAUGCGUAGAGAUCAUGAGGAAGACCAGUGGCGAAGGCGGGUCUCUGGACAGUUCCUGACACUGAGGCACGAAGGCCAGGGGAGCAAACAGG
rnacentral:rRNA from 1 species